ensembl:lncRNA
CGCCCACAAGCUGCCAGCCCCUCGGCACCGGUAUAGUGCUUUUGCUAGCUUCAAAAAAGCCCUAAAAAGAGCUUUUUGGUCAGCCUUUUUGCUUUAGGUCCCUUGUCCAGCGCAGUCUUACCUGCCCUGAAGCUGGUCUCCACAGCAAUGACGCAGAUGACUGGCAGCUACCUGGCCAACAGUUCUAAUGUCUCUAUCAGUUCUCCAUGAGACAUCUUCUGCAACUGAAGAUUUUUCAGGAGCUCAGAGAAGUUCAAUUGCCUUUUGAUCUUCAAAUGCUGGAAGAGAUUGUUAUGAUUACAUGGAUCCACAUCAUGGAACAAAUACAUAUCAAAGUAGAAGAGUUAUUUAUUGGAAUGGAAACUACAAGUGUGUGGCCUUUUUCUCACUCUCCUCAUUGGGACAAUUUUCACAAACACAUAACAAAACUGCAAUUACAGCUUACAACAUAAAAACCUCCCCAUUACUGAUAUUUUGGUUUCUGGAACACUUUUGAAGAUGUGAGAAAAACUACUCAGAGUUUCUAAGAUGUGACAUCUGGGUCCAAAUCAGUCUCGGGAUCUUUGCUGAUGGUGAAAAUAUAAUCCCAGCGGAUGACUGAUCCACACCAGUGGGUGCUCUUUGACAUCCAGAAUUGCUUCUCUGCAUAGUAUUCAACCUCUAAACUUCUGAAGGAAUCUUAGAACAGAAAACAAGAGAUGAAGCAGAAAAAAAAAAUUCUGCCACCUACAUAUAUAUUAAUUUUGUUGCAAGUUUUGCCUGACUUUCUGAUGUGAGAAAUGUUUUUUCUUAUAUUCUAGGAUUUGAAAAGGAUCCAAGAAGUUCUUGGAAAGAGAGGUUUAACAGAAGUUACUGCUUUUUUGUGUCUGUUCCUUAAGGACCUUAUUCAGUGUUCACCUAAUUACACUUCACAUUAGCAUGGUCCUUUCUUUCAGAUAAAUUGACAUUUAGAUUCAAUUAUAAAAGAAAAAGCAAAAACACAAUGCAUAUCUUAUCUUCCAAGACAAAAGGCAAAACACCCAAAUUGGAACGCGGGGGUUUCCAUGCAAACACUGAUGAGCACUUCUGUGCUGUGUGGGUGAUGGAGCACUGACACAAGCUGCCCAGUGCCUGUGGGGCCUCCUUGGAGAUCUCCAGCAGCCAUCUGCACUUGGUGCUGAGUGCCCUGCUCUGGGUGUCCCUGUGGAGCUGGGGUUAGGCCAGAGGGACCCAGGAGUCCCUGCCUACCUGCCGUUCUGUGGGUAUCUGAUUCAAACACAAAAUUAUAUAUAUAAUAGUAAUAAUUUAAAAAAUGAAACAACCUAUCUACCUAGAAUAUUUACUACUUUGCACCCUCUCGACAAAUUAUCUGAUCAAAAAAACAGGAUGUGAUAGAUAGGCCUUUCACCUUUUUGACAAUGUAAUACUCAUUUAGCCCUUUGCAAUUUUCCUGCUGUCCCAAGAGUACAGUAUGAAAAAAUGAAGGAUAGGAACAUGAAUCAUAACUAAUGUGAUCUGGAAAAGACAGCAGAGCAUGUUUAAGAAUUUUCCUUUUGUUUUAAGCCUUUGAAUUUUCUUUAUCCACACGUAAGAGAUGACAGAAUUGCCACUUUCCUUUACCUCCAAGGACAAAAGCAAAAGCAAGGACUUCUUCCUUUAGAAAGAUGUUUAUAGAGAUAUCACCAUAUCUACUAUGUAUGAACAUUUAAUGACAUUUAAUUUUGAAUCCUGUCCUGCCAGGAAAUGUUGUGUUGUACACUCAUUAAGCACACAUUUUGCUUGGUUUUGUCCGCCGAGGUCCCAGAACCAUUCCAGGAACAUAGGUCACGUUACCUUGUCUUUGGUGAUCAUUUGGAUGUCUUUGUAUCUUGAUUUUGAUUACAGCUUCCAGAAUAUUAUUUAAGAAACAAAAGCAAGUGUGUGUGACUGAAACCAGAACAUUCAGAACUAGAAAUGUAUUUAGUUCUCAAAGGGAAAAAAUAUUUAAUGAUCUAGACAAGAGUUGCCAUUUGAAGUAAUUCCUUUAGUAUCCAUGGUACCUUGUUUGGUACCAAUUUCAUGAUAAAAGUUUAUGCAUGGAUUCUGAGGUUAUAAUGCAGAAUCAGAGGGCUUAGUUGUUGUAACUUGCUGAAGAAGCAUAACAUGAAGACACACAUAUCACAAUUUAAGAAUGAAUCACUUUUCAUCUCUCAGAAUUCAGACAUUUCCCAUCCUUAAGAAUAAUCCUUUGACCUAUUUGCUGUAAUCCUUCUCUCUAACAACUUCAUUUAGCAUCCCGCUGCAUCUGCUGCCUUCCUCUACAGAACUUCUCCUGCUCUUUUUUUCCCUGACCCAUUUUGCUCCCCGGUUAAUGCACGCAGCCCUGCAGCUUUUAGCUUCUUGUUACCUCUUUUGCCCCUGACUUCUUCCACGCUGUACUCUGUUCUCAGAAAUAAUGAUGGAUGGCAGUAGGACAGACUCUCCUUUCAAACCCCUUGUAAUAAAGUGUUUAUUCUAUGGAAAAGUUUGCCAAAUUCUAACAAAUAUCUCUCCAUCACAUAAACCUUUUAAACCUCAUUCCUGUGCACUCGUUAUUGUUUGAUAGUACUGUAGUACUAUCUGAUUUAUGUGAGUACCGUAGUACUAUCUGAGUACCUAUUUGAUAUAGGCAAUGAUUCUGUGUGUGUGCCCAUCGUGUUGUGCAGCACAUUGCCAUUGCCUAAGAAAACAAAAUAAUCAUAAAACAUACAAGCAUUCAUUGCAUCUGGCUGUGUUUUAAUUGAGAGUUUGAGUCUUCAAGUCAACAGGAAAGAUAGGUAUCACUGGAAGAAAAUCAGCCUAGCUACAGUUAAAACUGUCUUCUGGAAAUGCAUUUCUGAUUUAACAUCUAGGCAAGGUAGGAUGAAUCUAGAUUGAUGAGAUUGUUUGAUAUUCUGAUUGGCAAGUUCGUUGCUGAAACAACUAAAUGAAAAAUUAGAGUUCACAAAAUUUAGUUCUGCAACCUGCCUCACUGUUUCUGAAUGGGAUGAGUAACUCCACUGAGUCAGCCCUUGUGCCUAAGUAGAAACAGCGGUGACUAACUAAGCAAGAGGUGCAAUUAUUAAAAAUAAAUAAAUAAAUGAAGUAAAUGUACAUUUACAAUGGCUAAUUGUUGUGACAAAUAACCUGCAAGGACAUAACAAGCAAUGAAAUGUAAAUAAUAGAGUUAUAUUAUUUCACUGUUGGCCUGUCACCUUAACGCCAUUACGAGACAAAUAUGAAGGACUGCGAGUUCUAGAGAUGGAAGUCGUCUUUAUGGCUAGAUAAUUCAAUGGUGGAAUGGUGUUACCUCUAGAGUAUUUUGCAUUCAAAUAAAUUAUAUUUAAUUAAAAGUGUUUCAUCAAACACUGUCAGCUGUGGCCUAUCCUAAACAGAGACAGAACAUAGAAAACAUCUCCCUUUUUUGUUAUUUGCAGUUCUUCUGCUGCACACAUCCAGAAAUGCAGAACUCUGGGUAAGUCCUCUUUUCCAUCCAGUGCUGAUUCACAGAUUGAUGUUCCUUUGUUCUGCUGUAGUGCUGAAGACUUGGAAGUGUCCUCUUUAGAUAACAUUUAACACAAAUGUACAACACAGGGGCUCCUAAAAUAUAUGUAAGUUUACUUAAGAAAGCAAAACCCAGAGAAAAACCAGGAAAAGAUAGAAUUUUGUCUUUUUUUUUUUAAUAAUAACAUCAUUGUAUCUGGACCACUCAUGAGAGACAGAGGAGGCUUAAGCUCAGUUGCCACAACAACCUGAAGGAAUUCAAACUCUUACUACCUAGAAAUAUGAGCUUUCCACACAGCUAAGGCUCUGCUCAUUUUUGUAGUCAAGAAUAUGUCAUUAUGCACAAAGAAUUGGACCAGAAAGAGCUCAUGUAAGCAGCAAUACCGCAGCACUCAUAACAGAAAGUGUGAUUUGGUUCUGAGCCCAAAUGAAGAUAAAUAUCUCAAGCAAACUCCUCAUUUCCCAGCUGAGACUUGUUUUUCUUUUUUUCUCCUCUGUUAAAGUGCAAUUAAUUUAAUUUAAAACCACAGCAGUUUUCAGCAGAGAAGCUGUACUGAUAGCUGUGUUUCCUACUGGAGUUAUUGCUGCAAGCAUGUCUUUGUUCCACUGAUGGAAAGACAAACAAGCUUCAGCUGUUGAAGAGAGAAAAAGAGAAGCACAGUUACAGGAAAGUCUGCUGAAAGGCAAGAGGACUCAUCUCUGUUGCCACUGCUCAGCUGAUGCUGGUGUCUGGCAUCAUGAAUGCUUUUCCUUCUCUGCUCAAGUUAAAAAAAAUUAUAAGAACCAGUUAUUUGGCACCAUCACAAAAUAAAACAAACACAGUGUUGGUUCCAACCAACUCAUGUUUGUAAAGAGACACCAUUUUACAAGCUUAGGAUGCUAUCUGUGCUAGUGCCUGGAAAGUUACGUCACAGUACUCCAACCCAGGGCUAUGCACAGUGUAAUGGGGCUUUAGGUUGACAGUUAACAGCUAGAAGGUUGUGCUGUAUGCUCAGAAAAUAUAUAUGUAGUUUAUUCAUAUAUUCAACACUCAGACGCACAAAAAAUAUGUAAUGUUCCACUUACUUUUUUUUUUUUUUUUUUUUUUUUUUGCACCAGAAAAGCAGUGAUAAAAGUGCUGAGCCCAGUGGAGUUAGUAGUGUUCCA